rfam:Environmental sequence GutlessWorm_Cont1188, whole genome shotgun sequence.
UAGGCUGACGCCAAGAUAUCCGACGCCCAGGCGGGACACGAGAAGACGAUCAGCGCGUUGCUCUCGGCCCUGGCAGGCGCCAAUCUCAUAUACGGAGCGG